UUGUGGAGGAGGACGCCGAAGGUGGGGCUAAUGACUGGGGUGAAGUCGUAACAAGGUAGCCGUACCGGAAGGUGCGGCUGGAUCACCUCCUAACAGGGAGACAACAAAAUGUUUAUUAUUAUUUUGUCACCUUAGGUCGAUCGGUAUCUCACGUUUUUAAUUUAUUAAGAAUUUCAUUUCCUAAGUUUUUCUAGGUCACACCCAUUAUUUUUCCUGGGCCAUUAGCUCAGGUGGUUAGAGCGCACCCCUGAUAAGGGUGAGGUCCCUGGUUCAAGUCCAGGAUGGCCCAUAUCUCUCUAUGUUGGGGGUAUAGCUCAGUUGGUAGAGCGCCUGCUUUGCAAGCAGGAUGUCAGCGGUUCGAGUCCGCUUACCUCCACUGAUUACCACCUCUGCCAUAAUCUGUAGAAAGGAAAAGUUGUGAGUUGUGAUCAAUUCUGAACGAAUCUAGCUUCCUAAUCAAACCAUUAAGAUGCUGGACUCAUUGAAUUAAUUUCAUUGUUUUCAGAGAACCUUGACAACUGCAUAGAUUAUUUUUUAAAGACAAUAAGCAUCUUUAAUGAUGCAGAUUUAUUAUUUGUGCGAAAGCAUUAAUAACAAUUCUAUUAAGCUGAUGCUUCAAUUUUGAAGUUAUUGGUCAAGCUACAA
rnacentral:misc_RNA from 1 species